rnacentral:rRNA from 1 species
GACGAACGCUGGCGGCGUGCUUAAUACAUGCAAGUCGAACGGAAAGGCGUCUUUCUUGGGGUUCUGGCGUGGCGAACGGGUGAGUAAGACGCGCGUAAAUUGCCUACGUCUUAGGGUUAACUUCCUUAAACUGAGGCGAACUCCUGCCAGGUAAUAUAUUUGCCUGCAUGGGGCUGUAGAGAUACGGCGGUUUGGGAUGGAUUCGCGGCUUAUCCGCUUGUUGGUGGGGUAGUGGCUUACCAAGGGUUUGGCGGGUAGACGGUCUGUGAGGGUGAUCGGCCACAUUGGGACUGAGAUACGGCCCAGACUCCUACGGGAGGCAGCAGUGGGGAAGAUUGCACAAUGGGUGGAAGCCGGAUGCAGCAACGCUGUGUGCGGGAUGACGGCCUUCGGGUUGUAAACCGAUUUCGCUCAUGACGAAGCUUUGUGUGACGGUAGUGGGUAAGGAAGCACCGGCUAACUACGUG